ACAACUUUGGCAUUGUGGAAGGACUCAUG
rnacentral:piRNA from 1 species